AGCUAGAUUCCAGGCGGUCGUGGACUAAUGAACUCCGCCAGGACCGGAAGGUAGCAACGGUAGUUGGCCUCAUGGGGUGUCUGGAUCAUCUAGCUAUC
rnacentral:SRP_RNA from 1 species